CACUAUCGCCAUCGCCCCUCUCCCCUCUCUCUUCCUCUCUCCUCUCUCUUCGGCUUCCUCUCCCUCAUUUCUUUUUCAUUUUCAUCUUGAUCUUCCUCUUCCUUCCUCUCUUUCCCCCUUCCCUUCCUCCCCUCUUCUCCCACAAACCCCCUCCCCUCUCUCCCCCUCUUUGGCCGCAUCAAUCGCUACAAGAAUCCAGUUGGAAUCGACACGAUGAAAGGGGCAUGACCCUUCUCCUAUUCCUCCCUCUCUCAAUGAGAGAAGAAGGGAAGAGGAUUACUGAAGAAGGGAAGGAAAGAGAGCGAAGAAGAGGAGAGAGAGGAAAAGGAAGGAGAAUUGAAGAGGAAAAAGGUGGAGGAAAAGGAAGAUCAAGAAGAGAUGAUGACAAAGGGUCGAUAAUGGCAGUAGAUGAGGGAUGUGGGGAGGGACGAUGGUCGGUAGAAGAAAAAAAGAUGAUACGAUUUAUUUUAUUGUAUUUUUAUUAGGUACAUUUGAAAUUAUUUGUAUUUGGAGUAUUUUUGAAGUGCUUUUAGAGUCGGUCACUGUAGACCAUGAAAACAAAAACUUGUAUUCAAAUACAAGCUCACCUAAGCAGAGCCAUAAUCAUUAGAUACAAAACAAGUCUUUAUUCUUUGCCAAUCUUUUUUUUUCAGGAACAUUAAUAGUUUGGAUGUAGGAAGGUAAAAAUGUUAAACACAGCAAAACAGUAAUAAAAAGAAGGGUUUUUCUAACGAAUCUCUUUAAGGCACUCGUUAA
rnacentral:lncRNA from 1 species